GAUGAAGGACGCAGUGAAAUGCGAUACUUGGUGUGAAUUGCAGAAUCCCGUGAACCAUCGAGUCUUUGAACGCAAGUUGCGCCCGAAGCCAUUAGGCCGAGGGCACGCCUGCCUGGGCGUCACACGUCGUUGCCCCCCCAUCUACUCCUUCGGGAUUGCGGGGGGCGGAUGAUGGCCUCCCGUGCGCCUCGCCGCGCGGUUGGCAUAAAUGCCAAGUCCUCGGCGACGCACGCCACGACAAUCGGUGGUUGCGAAACCUCGGUUGCCCGUCGUGUGCGGUCGUCGCGCAUCGAGGGCUCGAAAAAAUUGCCGGGUUCCGGCUCGGCUUUCAACGCGACCCCAGGUCAGGCGGGGUUACCCGCUGAAUUUAAGCAUAUCAAUAAGCGGAGGA
rnacentral:misc_RNA from 1 species